AUCUGAGUUGUCUUGUCAUGCUGCUUUAGAUCCCAACUUUUAAAUGUAAUCAGAGGAGAUUAGCUUGACUUUAUGGUUAUAAUCUUGAGACCAAAGUUCAGAGAUCUGAAUGUAAAUCACCUCUGUCUUCUCUUUAGAAAAAGGUGCAUCAAUGAAGAUACAGCAUCAAGGGGAUGUUGGUUUUAUUUUUUGAAGUUGAUGGAAUCAUGCAAGCUGAGUUUUACCAAGGAACAGAAGGAGAGAAAAGUAACUAAGACAGGAAGCAAAAGGAAAGGACCUUGUGGAUAUUCAGAGAAGCACUUUUCUGGGAGAGAGAACAGGGAUAGAAAAGGGAACAGUUUUUUUCCACAAGAAGAACCUCAAGGAAUUUUCAGAUGGAGUUAUUUCAAAAUACUCUGUGCAGAGGAAAAAAAAUAUUCAGGAGUCAAUUUCAAUACCACUCUUUUAAGUUGAAACUGAAUUUUGCGCAUAGCAGGGAUUAACAUAUACAUUUUCUGUGCUCACUUCUAUGGAAGUAAAGAAAGAAGAAAAUCAUGGAGGCUAUGGAAUUCUGAGGAGAUAUUUCUUCUAAAAAAGUAGAUUCAAUUCUGUUUUUUCCUGGUAUGUGCUACUUGUAUUAAAAUUAUCUGUCAAAUAUUUUUCUUUGGAGGCAAUUUGUUUUUUUCUCCUCUGUAUAGCCUUCAAAAU
rnacentral:lncRNA from 1 species